CUGGAUCCAUUCAUGUUCAAUGAUAUAUCGUAUGAGUGUUCAUGGGUAGUUUGAUACAUCUUCUAAUAUAAGAUCCAGCAAUCUUAUGUGUGAUCUUCACUUCUGUCCUCAACCUUCUCUGGAGGUCAACCCUCACCCGGAGUUACAGCUGCUUCCCAAAGACGACUCCUCCAUUUGGAGUGCCCUGCUGUUUGCAUCCAUCUGACCUCUGGGUGGGCUAGAGCAUUGAAGCUGGAUUGCUGCCUGACUACUCUGCGACACCAAGACUUCCCGCCCCAGUUAAAGAAAAAUCCACUUCAUAGUGAAAAGGAUAAUCGACAAUUUGUCCUUUUGCAAAGAAAGGGGCCUGUGGUUUUCCAGGAUACUCCCACAGAGCAUGCAGGAAUUUCUGGAGGCAGUUUGGAGCAAGAGGUUGGUGAACUUGAAGCCUUUGGCCCAGAACAGGGGAAAAAAAUAAAGACAUUAUUAUGAACCGAGAAUUUUCAAAGAAGACAGUAUAUUUCAACAAGACUUAAAAGAAAAUUAAAGCAGUGUGGAUUUA